UCACCUGUUUUUCAAAAACAUGUCUUAAAGAAACUUUAAAUUUUAAGUCAAAUCUGCUCAAUGAAAAUAAUUUUUAAAUAGCUGCAGUAAACUUAACUGUACUAAGGUAGCAUAAUAAAUUGUUUUAUAAUUUAAAACUAGUAUGAAAGAUUUAAUGAAAUAUAAACUGUCUCAAAUUAAAAAAAUAAAAUUAUUAUUUAAGUAAAAAAACUUAAAUUAAUUUUAAAGACAAGAAGACCCUAAAGAAUUUUUAUAUUUAAUUUUUAAAAAAAUUAAAAUUUAAAUAAUUUAAUUGGGGAAAUUUUAAAAUUAAAUUAAUUUUUAAUUAAAAAAAACAAUAAUAAUUGAAUUACUAAAAUUUUUUAAAAAAAUAAAUUAAAAUUACCUUAGGGAUAACAGCAUAAUUUUUUUUUUAAGUUCAAAUUCAUAAAAAAGUUUAUGACCUCG
rnacentral:rRNA from 1 species